AGAACGAGCACCACACUUUCACCCCCAUCAAAACAAAUCACCGCUCUAGGGUUUUUCUCGUGUCGAACUCUUUUUCGUCCUCCAGCUCUCCUCGACGGAGCAAAGCCUGCCGCCUCUCCUUCACUCAUACUCGUCCUCGACGAUCUCCACCUCGCGUUUCCCUCCUCCCCUUGGCUCCUUCACUUCCCCUCAUUCGACACCUCCGCUUGUUCGCCGACCAUCCCAACCUUGUCAGCCACCUCUCCUCAAUUCGCCGUUGUCCACUGCCUCCCCUCACGACCUCGCCGUCUUCGAGGACCGCCGCCGAGACCUCCACACGACUCAGAAAAAAGGUGAGGAUUGAAGAGGAGUUCACUGGAUUGUACAUGUUAUUCUGUUCAAAAUGAUAGAUCUUUUGUCACUGAGAGCCCUGGCAUCAGUAAUUUGGGGCUUGUCGGAGGGGGGAUUUUGAAAUUUUGCUUCUUGUCCAGGAGGGAGCUUAGCCUUGACAAGGAUGUGUACAUGUACAGAGUUAGGGUUCGACGAUUCUGAGCCGGUACUGCCUUCUUGAUCAAUGUUGACCGAAUCAGAGGUGCUUUUGCGGAUGCUUCCAAACUAUCACCAUCAUGUGCGCACAUAUGAGAAUACACUUGAAACUAAAUUCUUUGGUUUGCACAGAGUGAUACCCUCUAGUGGUCAAAAGGUUCUUCAUAAUGAGAAACAUGUUUUGUACGGAUCCAUAGAAGGUUUGACUUGAAAGGUUUGACUUGAAAGAGUGAUGCAUAUUGACUCAGUACAUUGGGUUUAACCAGGAAUUUUUAUGGAUAUUCUGGAAAACAUCUGAAGAUCCAUGCUUGUCGCUCUUUGGGGGAUUUAUUUGUUGUGAAGAUUUAGAACUUAAUCAUCUCAAGAGAAACAUUUUGACCUUUUGAUUAAGUAGUAGCUCUUUGUUUUAAUCAUGGAGGAUUUGUGAUAUGUGCUUAAUUUGGUUAGUUUGUGUGUAAAACUUGUGAAGAAUUAUCUCAAUCUUAUUGCUAUAAUAUUGUUCUUCGUUGUAAUGAA